rnacentral:rRNA from 1 species
GACAUAGGUCGCGAACGUUAUCCGGAAUUAUUGGGCGUAAAGGGUGCGUAGAUGGUAAAGUAAGUUAUCAGUGGGAAAUCGAGGCUCAACCUCGUGGAAGCUGGUAAUACUGCUAUACUAGAGUGCAGGAGAGGUUAACGGAACUCCAUGUGGAGCGGUAAAAUGCGUAGAUAUAUGGAAGAACAUCAAUAACGGCGAAGGCAGUUAACUAUUCUGCUACUGACAUUGAGGCACGAAAGCGUGGGGAGCAAAAAGG